rnacentral:rRNA from 1 species
UACGGAGGGUGCGAGCGUUGUCCGGAAUCACUGGGCGUAAAGGGCGCGUAGGCGGCCUGAUAAGUAGGGGGGUGAAAUCCUGCGGCUUAACCGCAGGGCUGCCUUCUAAACUGUCGGGCUCGAGCACAGUAGAGGCAGGUGGAAUUCCCGGUGUAGCGGUGGAAUGCGUAGAGAUCGGGAAGAACAUCAGUGGCGAAGGCGGCCUGCUGGGCUGUUGCUGACGCUGAGGCGCGACAGCGUGGGGGAGCAAACAGG